ensembl:lncRNA
ACUCCUCCGGGUGUGAGAGUGGGAACACAUGCUCUCGGGUGUUAGAUGUCGAAGCCCAUACUGAACAUCCCAGUCCUUCAGAUAAAACAAUUUCAGUGUUUUAUUGACAAUAAUUAUCGUGAUAAACUGCAGAGAUGUGGGGCAGUGGCAGCUCACGCCACGUUUCCUUCGACCCGGCCGAUGAGGAGGGGGUUGCAUUUGACUUUGAGAGUAAGUGAUUGAUCGCAUGAAGGUGCCUCCACCUGUGGAUGAUCACAAGCUACGACCAAAUCCUUCUGAGGACUCCUCGAUCUCCAUUUCUGCUCCCAUCCCAUCUGUCCUGGAGGAGUCUGCUGUGUCAUUAAAACGCCUUCAUUUGUGUUUUUGCCUAAAGAAAAUGAAAUAAAAUUCCACUGGAGAACCUCAGGUUGAGGAACCUGUUGCACCUUCAUUUAUUGACCAAGUCGAGGUCUUUCCACCACAAACACAUGUUGUGGAUGAGGAAAACUCAGAAAGCAGAUCAGAGGAGAUUCCAGAAGCUCCUGAAGGAGGAGAUGAAGAUGGCAGAGCGUUACAUUCUAUGCUGUUGUCAUACUAUGAAAAUACUAAAAAUUAAUAUAAAAAACACAUUUGAAAACAAACAAACACUAGGACAAAAUAACAAAAACACACAACAAAAUUACUAAAACUUUAACUCAAAUUAAAAAAAAAAAAAA